rnacentral:rRNA from 1 species
ACGGCAUAGCCCGUAGCUCCUUAAAGUGAUUGGCGGAGUUGGUUCUCACUCUAAGCGUAGUAACUAUAUCUCGCUUCUGUAGUAGUUCCGGCCCCUGCCGUAAAACCCUUAUACAAAGGUUGACCUCGGAUCAGGUAGGAAUACCCGCUGAACUUAAGCAUAUCAAUAAGCGGAGGAAAAGAAACCAACAGGGAUUGCCCUAGUAACGGCGAGUGAAGCGGCAACAGCUCAAAUUUGAAAUCUGGCUCUAGGGCCCGAGUUGUAAUUUGCAGAGGAUGAUUUUGGCGCGGUGCCUUCCGAGUUCCCUGGAACGGGACGCCUUAGAGGGUGAGAGCCCCGUACGGUUGGACACCAAGCCUCUGUAAAUCUCCUUCGACGAGUCGAGUAGUUUGGGAAUGCUGCUCUAAAUGGGAGGUAAAUUUCUUCUAAAGCUAAAUACCGGCCAGAGACCGAUAGCGCACAAGUAGAGUGAUCGAAAGAUGAAAAGCACUUUGAAAAGAGGGUUAAAUAGCACGUGAAAUUGUUGAAAGGGAAGCAUUUACUACCAGACCUUCUCCCUGCGGAUCAUGCGGUGUUCUCACCGCUGCACUUCGCUUGGUUUAGGCCAGCAUCGGUUUUCGUAGAGGGAUAAAAGCUUUAGGAACGUAGCUCCCUCGGGAGUGUUAUAGCCUUUUGCAUAAUACCUUUACGGGGACCGAGGACCGCGCU